ensembl:snRNA U6 U6 spliceosomal RNA
UUGCUUUAGCAGCACAUAUACUCACAUUGGAACAAUGUCAAGAAGAUUAACAUGGGGCUUGGGCAAAGAUAUCACACAAAUUCACGAAGCACAUUAUUUUUAG